GUGUCAGCAGCCGCGGUAAUACGUAGGGGGCAAGCGUUGUUCGGAUUUACUGGGCGUAAAGGGCGCGUAGGCGGCCACCGCAAGUCAGUUGUGAAAUCUCCGAGCUUAACUCGGAAAGGUCAACUGAUACUGCGGGGCUAGAGUGCGGAAGGGGCAACUGGAAUUCUCGGUGUAGCGGUGAAAUGCGUAGAUAUCGAGAGGAACACCUGCGGCGAAGGCGGGUUGCUGGGCCGACACUGACGCUGAGGCGCGAAAGCUAGGGGAGCGAACGGGAUUAGAUACCCCGUAGUCC
rnacentral:rRNA from 1 species